rnacentral:rRNA from 1 species
AGUGAACGCUGGCGGUAGGCCUAACACAUGCAAGUCGAACGGCAGCACAGUAAGAGCUUGCUCUUACGGGUGGCGAGUGGCGGACGGGUGAGGAAUACAUCGGAAUCUACUUUUUCGUGGGGGAUAACAUAGGGAAACUUACGCUAAUACCGCAUACGACCUACGGGUGAAAGCAGGGGAUCUUCGGACCUUGCGCGAUUGAAUGAGCCGAUGUCGGAUUAGCUAGUUGGCGGGGUAAAGGCCCACCAAGGCGACGAUCCGUAGCUGGUCUGAGAGGAUGAUCAGCCACACUGGAACUGAGACACGGUCCAGACUCCUACGGGAGGCAGCAGUGGGGAAUAUUGGACAAUGGGCGCAAGCCUGAUCCAGCCAUACCGCGUGGGUGAAGAAGGCCUUCGGGUUGUAAAGCCCUUUUGUUGGGAAAGAAAAGCAGCAGGUUAAUACCCCGCUGUUCUGACGGUACCCAAAGAAUAAACACCGGCUAACUUCGU